rnacentral:lncRNA from 1 species
AUGGGAGGCAGUUUAAGGGAAUGCCUUCUAACCUAGACAACAUACAGAACCAUGAGCUACAUUAAAAAACUGUUUCAAACCAAUGCAUUUGAAUUUUGUUAUGCAGUAAUAGAUACCUGAAAAACUUGGCUACCAAAUUUCCAGCUCUGCAAGAGCAAUUAGGAAGACUAAUUGAGGUAAGACCUGAAAGCAGUAGGAACUGGAAGUUAAAUUUGAGGGAAGGAACAGAGACCAUUAAAAUCAAAAGAAGAAAUCAAAACACAGCAGUUGGAGACCAUUUAGCAGGAAGAGAGGGGAGAAAACUGCCAAACCCAGCACUAGGCUCCUCACAGUAAACAUUACUAAAUUACAUCACUUAAGAAUCAUGUAUUCAUGACAGCUUGAAGUUAGAAGAAAGAUUACAUUCUCAUCAGCACAUUAUUGGAGAACCCAAGGAGGUAAGGAAUAGUUAUUUUAAAAAAGGUUUUGAUUGUCAAAAAUUAAACUGUGACAUUGUCCCAGAGUUUAAGGAAGCAAGAUUUGAUUUUCUAUAAAUUUAUUAAUGAAGACCACUUCAAUUCCCCAACAGUCUUACGUUUGCAACAUAUUCUUGCCUCAUAACUCUUUCUGAUGUCUGGAUUUCCCAGUGCUGUUAGAGCCAUGGAAACACAUUCAUUGAUUCAUUGAUUCAUUCAGGGAAGAUGCACUGAUAUUUGCUCACCCUGAAUUCCUUUUCUAGAUGUCAUCCACAGAAAGAUGAAUAAGACAUGGUUCAUGUCUCUGACACCAUACCUUCCACUGGGGGAGGGAUAAAGGAGAGACCACGACUAACAUUUACUGAGCUCCAACUACUUCUGCCAGGCACUAGACUAGUUGCUUUGACAUCCUUUAGUUAAUCCUAGUAAUGCCAUCUACUGGACUGUACUCAUCGUAUUUUCAGAUGGCAAAGCAGAGUUUCCGACUGGUAUACAACUUCUGUGUGGACUCAAAAUGUAAGUGAACUGGCUUGCAGUCCUUAUCAGUAGCAUCUCCCCAACCUCCAAAAACCUUAUAUACACUUUAUGGGAAACUGUAAGGUAGAAUGCCAUCAGCAACUGAUUUUAUGGGUUUUGAUCAUUUGUAAGCUCUUUAAUAAUUUGAGUUCACAGCAGAGUCAGAAAAAAGCCUCCCCAGCAUCAUUUCUUCCAUAUUCGAACCGGUUCUCUUUUUCUCUUUCAUGCUACUCUUUAAUUUGAUGACUCCUGAGGUUUCCCCAGAGUGUUUGUCAUUUUUA